GAACAUGGAAUUUUGCCCAUCCUUAUGAACACCUGAAUUCUAUCCACUGAUCCCUUUAGGGUCCAUGAGCCCCAAGCGGAGAUUCCAUCUAAACCCCUGCUUUAGAUGCGGGCACUGCAGAGCCACUCCAAGUCAUUUGUUCCAAGACCAUGUGUUAAAAUAAGCCUAUUUGUUGAGUGGCAUGAGGUUAAAGUUAGUGUCUUAUUUAUGUUUGUGUCACUGGUACCCAACUAGCACAUAGCAUAUGGUAGGGGCACAGUGAACAUAGCAGGGAUAUACAUGCAGUGUUCAAGAUGCUGGCAGGGUGUGAACAGGGUACCAGAACGUGGGCUUUAUGUAGGAUUAGAGUUAGAAGCAUUAGCAGCUGAAAAAUGGCAGGAAAAUGAUGAAAUCUACAUGAUGGAAAAAGGGGGUCAGAGAUCUAAAGUCUAGAUGAAUGCAGAAAACAGAGCACUCAGGAAUAAGCUUCUGCUCACCACUCCUGGAGAAGUGUGACAUACAUGCAAAAUUCUGCACAUCUGGGACUGAAGAAGUAGAUCUUUCACCUUAAAAUUACCCACUGAUAUCCACUGGGAGAGAGAACUCUCUCUGAUUUGAUGCUCAGCAAGAGUGACUCUCAUCUCCAGGAUUGCUGGUGGGAGGUCAAGUCUUCCUCCCCAGGAUGCUGCACUUGGAUGGACUUGAAAGAGUUCUGUUUGUUCCAACGUCUAUAAAAACAUCAUGAACUUGAGAUUUCUGACAAGGACAUCAGCACUGGGUGAAAAGACGCACACAUAUCCUGACUCAAGGGCCUGUAAUUCUAUCCGUGACGUGGUUCUCCAAGUCCAGCUUUGUUCAUCCCAGCUCAUGUUCCACAUAAGUUUGUCAGGCCCAUGCUCCUUAGCCUUUGAGUUUCAGAAUGGCUCUCCUAAAAGGAACACUCCUAUUUGUCCAGGUUGCGAUCUCAUAUUCACUCUGGGCCAGACCAACUACACAACUCCUUAAUUCUUCAGUUGGCCGGGAGUGAGGUUCCAGGAUGCCACAGCCCUGUGCUCUGAAGACAACAAGUUCAUCUAUUCAGAUGGAUCUGAUUCACCUGACCUUAGGAGGAAUACACUGAAUUAUUUUUCAUGCUAGAGCAUAUUCCCAGGGCGCUGGGGCAGAGACCACGUCCUAAACCCAACUCAAAUGUGGCCUGUGCUCUUGGCUGAAGAAAAGCAUGGAAAGCAGUUGGGGACCUGCAUCCCCAAGACUGUCAGCCCUUCUCCAGGGCUAGCAACAAGCAGAGUGUAGCAGUGAGAAGAUGCUCUUGGCAGGCUCCAGAUAGCUGUGCCCUCAGCCCAGGAGGACUCAGCCAAUGAAGACUCAGCUAAUGAAAGCUCAGCAUGGAGGUGGCAAAGGGCUGCAGCCCCACCAAACUCUUUGCCUCCAGGCGCUGUGGUGGUGAAGAACUGAAAUACACAAACCUUGGGGCUUCCCCUUGUCCCUGAAACUGCAGAAGAUGCUGGCUCGGGAGAACUCAGGAUAUGGAUCAUAUGAAGACUUUCAUUCCAAGAACGUCUUGACCUACUGUUGGCUUCUUGCCACAGAUGAACAGAAAGACUUCCCUCUCCCCAUUUUAAAGUAUGCCUGGAGCAGUGGUUCACAUCCAUAAUUGCAACACCUGGGAGGCUGAAGCAGGAGGAUUGCUUGAGUCCAGGAGCUCGAGAUCAGCCUGGGGAAACAUAGCAAGACCCCAUCUCUACAGAAAAAAAAAUUAGCCAGGCGUGGUGGCACGCACCUUUAGUCUCAGGUUCCUAGGACACAGGUUGAUUGAUUUUGCAUUGGCUGAUUUUCAAGAACUUACCAGAAAUUUUGGUCAGGACUUGGCAAAUUGAAAGGUUCACAGGGAGCUGCCCAGUUGAAAGAGGUUGUGGAAGGCAGAGAGGGGAAGACUCAUUUUACCUUAAUACAAGCCUCGGAAGAAGGAAAAUUGCUUGGAUGUUGGGGAGAAGGUGCAAUUCUACUAAUAAAGUGAAAGAAAUUUGGCUUUGAAACAAGAGAUCCAGAGUGCAAAAAAGAGUUAAAAUAUUUAUAAGGAUAAAAGCAAAUGUUACAUUAUACACUAACCAACGGGCCAUGCAGUCUUUGAGUAAAUCUCCGGAGUGAAGCUUUUGAAGUUCUCUCUGAAGAGAUGGAGUGUGUGCAGCUAUAAGUUGAUGCACAAUCUCUCUCCCCAACAAAACUGAAAACCUUCCUCUAUCAUUGUUCAUAUUUGUCCUUGCUGUCUCCAGGAAAGCCUUUUUCUGCUGUGCUU